CGGGUGAGUAUCACGUGAGUAACCUUCCCUUAACUCUGGGAUAAGCCCGGGAAACUGGGUCUAAUACCGGAUACGACCAGUCCUCGCAUGGGGUGCUGGUGGAAAGAUUUAUCGGUUUUGGAUGGACUCGCGGCCUAUCAGCUUGUUGGUGAGGUAAUGGCUCACCAAGGCGAUGACGGGUAGCCGGCCUGAGAGGGUGACCGGCCACACUGGGACUGAGACACGGCCCAGACUCCUACGGGAGGCAGCAGUGGGGAAUAUUGCACAAUGGGCGAAAGCCUGAUGCAGCGACGCCGCGUGCGGGAUGACGGCCUUCGGGUUGUAAACCGCUUUCAGCAGGGAAGAAGCGCAAGUGACGGUACCUGCAGAAGAAGCGCCGGCUAACUACGUGCCAGCAGCCGCGGUAAUACGUAGGGCGCGAGCGUUAUCCGGAAUUAUUGGGCGUAAAGAGCUCGUAGGCGGUUUGUCACGUCUGCUGUGAAAGCCCGGGGCUCAACCCCGGGUGUGCAGUGGGUACGGGCAGACUAGAGUGCAGUAGGGGAGACUGGAAUUCCUGGUGUAGCGGUGAAAUGCGCAGAUAUCAGGAGGAACACCGAUGGCGAAGGCAGGUCUCUGGGCUGUUACUGACGCUGAGGAGCGAAAGCAUGGGGAGCGAACAGGAUUAGAUACCCUGGUAGUCCAUGCCGUAAACG
rnacentral:rRNA from 1 species